rnacentral:rRNA from 1 species
AGUGAACGCUGGCGGUAGGCCUAACACAUGCAAGUCGAACGGCAGCACAGUAAGAGCUUGCUCUUACGGGUGGCGAGUGGCGGACGGGUUAGGAAUACAUCGGAAUCUACUUUUUCGUGGGGGAUAACGUAGGGAAACUUACGCUAAUACCGCAUACGACCUACGGGUGAAAGCAGGUGAUCUUCGGACCUUGCGCGAUUGAAUGAGCCGAUGUCGGAUUAGCUAGUUGGCGGGGUAAAGGCCCACCAAGGCGACGAUCCGUAGCUGGUCUGAGAGGAUGAUAAGACAAACUGGAACUGAGACAAGGUCAAGACUCCUAAGGGAGGCAGCAGUGGGGAAUAUUGGACAAUGGGCGCAAGACUGAUCCAGCCAUAAAGCGUGGGUGAAGAAGGCCUGCGGGUUGUAAAGCCCUUUUGUUGGGAAAGAAAAGCAGCAGGUUAAUACCCCGCUGUUCUGACGGUACACAAAGAAUAAGCACCGGCUAACUUCGUG